rnacentral:rRNA from 1 species
AGCAGCCGCGGUAAUUCCAGCUCCAAUAGCGUAUAUUAAAGUUGCUGCAGUUAAAAAGCUCGUAGUUGAAUUUCGGGAUCAUCAUGUCGGUCGUGCCUCGGUACGUACUGGCAUUGUUGGUUUCUACCUUCUGACGAACCAUGAUGUCAUUUAUUUGGUGUCGUGGGAAAUCAGGACUGUUACUUUGAAAAAAUUAGAGUGUUUAAAGCAGGCUCACGCUUGAAUACAUUAGCAUGGAAUAAUAGAAUAGGACGUGCGGUCCUAUUUUGUUGGUUUCUAGGACCGCCGUAAUGAUUAAUAGGGACAGUCGGGGGCAUCAGUAUUCAAUUGUCAGAGGUGAAAUUCUUGGAUUUAUUGAAGACUAACUACUGCGAAAGCAUUUGCCAAGGAUGUUUUCAUUAAUCAGUGAACGAAAGUUAGGGGAUCGAAGACGAUCAGAUACCGUCGUAGUCUUAACCAUAAACUAUGCCGACUAGGGAUCGGGCGGUGUUUCUAUUAUGACCCGUUCGGCACCUUGCGGGAAACCAAAGUGUUUGGGUU